GAAAGAGCUUCUGCCCUGAGACUCAGAAAAAUAUUCUCCUGUGCUUCGGUUCAGUAUAGAUUUCUAGACCCUGAUCAUUGCUUAAGAGAUAUUCACUGAGGGUCCUACGUCUCUGCAAUUUGUGUAUGAAUAACAGAAUAAUUUCCCUCUUUUGUUUCGCCUUUCCUGUUCCUGAAUCUAAAUAAAGAUGGCUUUUUAGUAUUAAAAGUGGAAGAAAAUUACAGGUAAUUAUCUUUGACGGUAAAAACGCUGUAAUCAGCGGGCUACAUGAAAAAUUACUCUAAUUAUGGCUGCAUUUAAGAGAAUGGAAAAAAACCUUCUUGUGGAUAAAAACCUUAAAUUGUCCCCAAUGUCUGCUUCAAAUUGGAUGGCACUGCAGCUGGAGGCUUUGUUCAGAAUUGAUCCUGGGGAGCUACGAACCCAAAGUUUCACAGUAGGAAGGGGGAAAAAAGAAAAGAAAACAUUUUUCCUAAUGUAACAAUGCGAAUGCUAGAAAAUGACAAGACUGAUCGGUUUUAAACCAUUCUGAAGACUGACUGAGCGUGGAAGUUGCUCAACAAAAAAAGGAACGGGUAUAUUGUUGCUGAGACAAAGGAAAACCCACUCCCUUGGAGGAGCAUGACCUUUUCCUGUAUUGCUUCCCACUGCUGUUGUUGAGCUCCUUGGACCUUGGCUUCUGGACACCAUCAUCAAGAAGACUUUAUGGAUGGGCUAUCCACCCACUGAGAGAAGAGGAGCAUCAGCUACAGUUUCUGUCUAGAUUGCCUUCUUCAUUUUGAGUAAUGACUGUCAGCAGGGUCAGAUUAAAGACAAAACAACUGGACAAUUGCUUGGAGGACUAAACUAUAAGGGCACUAACAUGUCAGUAGUAUGCUAACACAUCCAUGGAAAAUAUAUUUACCAGCCCUUCUCUCAGGAUUCUGUGUGGGGUUGGAAGGAAUGGUUUGUUAAAUUCCUUAGGGGUAGAAAGUAGGGCAUAAUCAGAAUACAGAGGAAUAUGCUGUUUCACUUCAGGGUUUCUGUUUUUCUUACUAGGAUAUAUAAAACAGGAGCUCUAGCUAGAUUGUUUAUGACCACAGAGGGCAGGCUGAGCACUCCCAUGGUCUUCCUGCUUGGCUCUUGCCCAUACAGAGCUCAGCCUUUCCUCUAAUAAAGAUUGAACAAGUAGUGGUCUGAGGGAGACACCAAUUCAUUACCCUACAUGUCUCUUCUCUGCACUCUAGGGCUUUGAUAAUAAAGACACUGGCAGACUAUCUGUCUUCCAUUUCUAUAAUGUGAGCCCUUAGGGAGUCUUCAUUCACUUGGGGGUGAGGGUCAUUGCUCACAGAGUAGUUCAAGUCAAAUGGAACUUGAACUCUUUGCCUAUGGGCCUGGUGGUCAGACUCUGUGUUGAGUUCAUUGGAUUAUUGGAGACACGAGGUAGAGCUGAACGCUUCAAAAAUAUUUGGCUAAAGGAUGACAUUGCUGGUUAUUUGUAGAUAAAGCCAUGAUGGAACCUGCUUGGAAUCAUGAAAUAUGGAACUGGUGGUCAUGUUUAAAAAUACAACUAAUAGUUAAGUACCUACUGGACACUGUAGAGACUUAGGGACAAGACAGACAUGGUUCCUGCCCCCAUGGAGCUUACACUGUAGCUUUCCCUUAGGUAUGAAGAACAGUGGCUACAACUAACAAAUGGCCACAAAGAUAUCAUUGAGCCAGUGUUCCAAUCAUUAGGGUAAUUCCUAUUUCCUUAAUCAUGCCUAUUGACCAUGUUCUAUAAGCCUGCAUUCUAUAAAUGGCCUAUGAGCAUGGGCUGUUUCCCCCCAGCAAGUUGUACAAAGUUCUGUGGUACCAGAGAAAGGGCUUAAGGUUAGCAGGGCCUCUGGGGAAGGACAUAUGUAGUGACUUGGGUUAGGAAACAGGAAGGGAUAGGAUUGAAGAACAGCUGUUGCUUCUGUUCUAUAUAGGAAACUGCAGCGUGAAAAAUUCUGGGCUGGGAAUUUUGAGACCUGGGUUUUAGUUUGUGUUCUAAUACUAACAAGCUAUGUGACCGUGGGUAAGUCACUUCACAUUCCACUUGGAUGCCUCUUGAGUGACUCCAGGCCUCUCCAGCUCUAAAACAUUAAGAUCAGGCCCUACGCUACAGCUGGCCAGUGUGUAAUUCUCCUGUUUCUAUGCUGUUAGGUCAAAUAGAUCUUCAAUAGUUACUUGAUUGUUAUUACUUUUUUCUGAAGUGGAUGUUUUAUCAAUGUUUUAGGAUACAGUGAGUCUGCUUCUGCCCUUUGGAGUUAGGAAGGUUGUAGGAAUAUACACUGUAGAGCAUAUGGGAGCUUUAUCCCCUCCUUUUUACCCCCCUACCUUUCUCCCUCUCCUUCCCUUCCUCACAUUUCUAUUGAGCAUAUGUCAUUGCCGUGUACCAGGUGUGUGCUAGAUUUGGAGAUACAAGGUAAACCUGAGACUUUCCCAGACUCCAGGAGACAAAACCCUAAUUUCUGUCAUCUGCUGGCUUUCUCUUUGGAAAGAAUCAACGAUAUCCCAGGGGAAUGUGCCCAUGUCCCAGGGUAACCAACUACAGACAGAUGCCCCAUUCUACUCAAACAACUUUUAGAGUGCCUUGAGAUACACAUCAGAUAAUUAUGCAGGGCCGGGCAUGGUGCUGCACACUUGUAAUCACAGCACUUUGGGAGGCCGAGGCAGCAGAUUGCUUGAGCCCAGGAAUUCAAGCAUAGCCUAGGGAACAUGGCAAAACCCCAGCUCUACAAAAAAAAUACACAAAUUAGCUGCGUGUGGUGGCCCAUGACUGUAGUACAAGCUACUCAGGAGGCUGAGGUGGGAGGAUUGCUUGAGCCUGUGAGGUUGAGGCUGCAGUGAGCCGAGAUCAUGCCAUUGCACUCCAGCCUGGGUGACAUAGGGAGACCCUAUCUUGGAAAAAAAAAAAAAAGAUAAUCAUUCAGCCCUAGAGUCAUUGUGAAAAGAUCUAUCUUCAGAUAUAAGGAAGAAACAAUUUUUUAUUUCUUAGGAUAAAUCUGUAGAAGGACCUCCAGACAGUGAAGGCCACUGACUACUUUAUACUUUGUAAGCCAUCCCUUCCCUGGUAGGAAGGACUACUUUCCAGUCUUACAAAGUACCUCUCAGCAAAUAGACGUUUUCAUAUAUACUGUGAUUGAUACAUCCCUAUGGCUGGUGACCUCUUUAAAAAGGAAAGAAAAAAGCCUAAUCAAACAAAAAGAUGUUGCUAGUAAUUCUUACCCUAUUGUGAAUCCUAUAUAAGCAAAUUUGUAUCUUUGUUUUUUCCAACAUUAGCAGAUCUAUUUGAUAUAUAUCUCUGAGUGCAGAAAAUAUUUUAUGGAAAAAUCAAUAUAUGGAAUUUCAAAUUCAGAAUUGCUGAUACACACUAUUUGGUUUCAGAAUUUUAUCCUAGGAAAUAGUAUUAGGGAUUUCAAUUUCUGGCUUAAAUGGUAGAAUUAAUUACUCUUAACUCUUAAUUUUACUUCUGAGUUGAGGUCAAGGAACAGGCAGACACCUCCAGUUAACGUCUAUACGUCUCCAUGGCCAAGAGUUUUAAUUUUCUCGUCUUCAGUUUUGUAGAUGUACAUCAUUACUAAAUGCAUUGAUUAGUAUUUUAUUUCCUCUCCUUGUCCUUACUUUCCCUCUGGUAAAUAUGUUAUAAACAGUGUAAGGCUCCUAAGAUAGAGUGGCUGGUAGGACUUAGAAGAGAAACAAAGGGCAUUGAUAACUCACAUAAAUGGAAAAUUGGCUCUGGAAUAAUUGACAACAUAUUCAAGUAUUUUAGUGCAGUGUCACUCUCAUUAAGAAGAAGACAAUCAGUAAAUCUAUGUGACUCUAAACAUUCUAAUGAAAGAGGAAUAUUCUGUCAAUUAUCUCACAUUUCUAAAUAUCUAGAUAUUGGCCACUGUAAAGACAAAACAUACAGAUGAUGGACUUGUCUUUCCACCUCUCAUUUGCAUGGUUUGGAGCAUUGUACCUCCAGCCAUUGACUCUAAGGCAAUUUAUAUUUGCUUCCUCUUCCCUCUUGAGAGAAAACAAAAAUCUUAUUUUUCCAAGCAAUUAAAACUCUUCUGCUUCAGCUAGGAUGAAAGAAUUAGGAGUUCUGUCUCCUUGUAUCUAAUUGCAUGUUUCAUCUUUCUUGUUUUAAUGAUUGACAGAAAACUAAUAAACUGAGACAUCUUUGAAUCCAGGUUGAAUGUA
rnacentral:antisense_RNA from 1 species